CCUACGGGUGGCAGCAGUGAGGAAUAUUGGUCAAUGGGCGGAAGCCUGAACCAGCCAAGUAGCGUGCAGGAUGACGGCCCUACGGGUUGUAAACUGCUUUUAUACGGGAAUAACGCGCCUUACGUGUAGGGCUUUGCAUGUACCGUAUGAAUAAGGACCGGCUAAUUCCGUGCCAGCAGCCGCGGUAAUACGGAAGGUCCGGGCGUUAUCCGGAUUUAUUGGGUUUAAAGGGAGCGUAGGCCGCAUGUCAAGCGUGCUGUGAAAUGUCCGGGCUCAACCCGGGCCUUGCAGCGCGAACCGGCGUGCGUGAGUCCGCGGAAAGCAGGCGGAAUUCGUCGUGUAGCGGUGAAAUGCUUAGAUAUGACGAAGAACCCCGAUUGCGAAGGCAGCUUGCUGCAGCGUAACUGACGUUGAGGCUCGAAAGCGUGGGGAGCAAACAGGAUUAGAUACCCCAGUAGUC
rnacentral:rRNA from 1 species